AUUGAAUGGCAGUUGGCAGAGAAGAAACUUAGUUGAUAACCGUCCUAACCAACUGUCCAAACCCUUUUUGAUACCGAUAAAUUGCUGAUUUAGGGUUUCACAUUUUAUGUAGUUUACAUUUUCAAUUCUGCAGAAUUUCAUCACAGAAGGGGAAAAAUGUAUGCACCUCCACAGUACCAAGAAACAAGCUAUGUGGAACACGUUCGCAGACGCCACCAAGAAAAGGGAUGCCUUUACGCUUGGUUUGUAUACUUAUAUUUUUUUUUUAUCAUUGCUGUUGUCACUCUACCACACAGAUCAUUCAAUUUUCAUCAUGUUGCUCUCAUUCUUCUCGACACUUGAUGAUUUCUCUUUUCAAUUUUAUUUUGUUUUUUGCUGUCAUUUUUUGACUGGUGGGAAUUUUCAUUGGGAUUUGCACUUGCAGUUUGUUCGCCUUGUGCUGCUGCUUCUGCUGCUACGAGAGCUGUGAGUGCUGUUUGGAUGUGUUAUGUUGCUGCUGCCCCUAGAUAAGGUGUAUCUAUCUAAAAGUAAUAAUUACAGAUGAAGACGAGACUUUCUGAUAUGAGUGUGUUACUUUUGACUUACGGUUGUGAUAAGGUUUUUCCUUAGAAAAUUACUUUAUUAUCAAAGAGGCAUAGACCUAACAAGUACCAUUUUUUGUGUUCUUUUGAUGUUGAAUAUUUUAAUCUAUAGCGGAAGUUACUCCAGUGAUAAUGUAAUGGUUAUAAAUGAAGAAUAAAGUAUGAAUAUUUUGGGGACCCUUUAUGGUGUUAUGUUGUCGGGAAAAGGCAUGGUGAUUGUUGAGCAGAGUGAUGAACUGGGGUCCAAAAUUGAGUAGGCAUGGUGUUCAACAGUUUCUAUGAGUUCAGCUUUGAAUUUACAUCUACUAGUGGCAGAACAAUGCUUAUUUGUUUUUGACCAGAAAAGUAAAGCAAAACCCUUACGGAGUUCAUCAAGUAGUUAUAUUUAGAAGUUCUGUCACAUGCAUGCAUGCAUGCAUGCAUGCCUCCAUAUGUUUGGUAAACAUUUCCAAAUGUGGAAAACUAAAGAACGUUUUAAUGUAGUUGGAGGGAGAACGUAAGGGUGUGUUUGUUUCUUAGUUUCAGUUUUUAGAUAUUAAAUUUUAGAGAUUAAGAGUAGGGAAAGGAGAUGAAAAAUACGAUAAUAAAAAAUAACCCGGAGGAGAAGUUCUGUCUUUUUGUAGUUUUGAAGGUUAAAAUGGACAUAAAUUUUGAAUUGAUUUUAUUAAAAUAUUUAUUUUUUAAAAUAGAUAAUAUUUGUUUAGAGG
rnacentral:lncRNA from 1 species